GUUAGGAAUAUUGGACAAUGGGCGCAAGCCUGAUCCAGCCAUGCCGCGUGAGUGAUGAAGGCCUUCGGGUUGUAAAGCUCUUUAGUCCACGAAUAUAAUGACUGUAGUGGAAGAAUAAGCCCCGGCUACCUUCGUGCCAGCAGCCGCGGUAAUACGAAGGGGGCGAGCGUUAUUCGGAAUCACUGGGCGUAAAGCGUGCGUAGGCUGUUUUGUAAGUCAGUAGUGAAAGCCCAGGGCUUAACCCUGGAAUUGCUUUUGAAACUACAAGACUCGAAUUCGGGAGAGGAUAGGGGAAUUGUCAGUGUAGCAGUGAAAGGCGUAGAUAUUGACAGGAACACCAGUGGCGCAAGCGGCUAUCUGGACCGAUAUUGACGCUGAGGCACGAAAGCGUGGGGAGCAAACAGGAUUAGAAACCCUAGUAGUCC
rnacentral:rRNA from 1 species